rnacentral:snRNA from 1 species
AUACAUUUUUUCGUAAGAAGAAAACCCUUUUGUUGUCAGUUUAAUAUCUGAUAGGUCCUCUAUAUGGGGACAACAUAUUAAAUGGAUUUUUAGCCUCGGAAGCUGAAACAGGGGCUUGCUUUGUUGACUCCACGCAUCGACCCAGUAUUGCGGCGCCGCUGGGAACGGUGCACCCCUC